rnacentral:rRNA from 1 species
CAGUGAAAUACUACCCGUCGGUGACUGCGACUCUCACUCCGGGAGGAGGACACCGAUAGCCGGGCAGUUUGACUGGGGCGGUACGCGCUCGAAAAGAUAUCGAGCGCGCCCUAUGGCUAUCUCAGCCGGGACAGAGACCCGGCGAAGAGUGCAAGAGCAAAAGAUAGCUUGACAGUGUUCUUCCCAACGAGGAACGCUGACGCGAAAGCGUGGUCUAGCGAACCAAUUAGCCUGCUUGAUGCGGGCAAUUGAUGACAGAAAAGCUACCCUAGGGAUAACAGAGUCGUCACUCGCAAGAGCACAUAUCGACCGAGUGGCUUGCUACCUCGAUGUCGGUUCCCUCCAUCCUGCCCGUGCAGAAGCGGGCAAGGGUGAGGUUGUUCGCCUAUUAAAGGAGGUCGUGAGCUGGGUUUAGACCGUCGUGAGACAGGUCGGCUGCUAUCUACUGGGUGUGUAAUGGUGUCUGACAAGAACGACCGUAUAGUACGAGAGGAACUACGGUUGGUGGCCACUGGUGUACCGGUUGUUCGAGAGAGCACGUGCCGGGUAGCCACGCCACACGGGGUAAGAGCUGAACGCAUCUAAGCUCGAAACCCACUUGGAAAAGAGACACCGUUGAGGUCCCGCGUACAAGACGCGGUCGAUAGACUCGGGGUGUGCGCGUCGAGGUAACGAGACGUUAAGCCCACGAGCACUAACAGACCAAAGCCAUCAUUCA